rnacentral:rRNA from 1 species
GUGGGGAAUAUUGGACACUGGGGGGAACCCUGAUCCAGCCAUGCCGCGUGUGUGAAGAAGGCCUUUUGGUUGUAAAGCACUUUAAGCGAGGAGGAGGCUACCGAGAUUAAUACUCUUGGAUAGUGGACGUUACUCGCAGAAUAAGCACCGGCUAACUCUGUGCCAGCAGCCGCGGUAAUACAGAGGGUGCAAGCGUUAAUCGGAUUUACUGGGCGUAAAGCGCGCGUAGGUGGCCAAUUAAGUCAAAUGUGAAAUCCCCGAGCUUAACUUGGGAAUUGCAUUCGAUACUGGUUGGCUAGAGUAUGGGAGAGGAUGGUAGAAUUCCAGGUGUAGCGGUGAAAUGCGUAGAGAUCUGGAGGAAUACCGAUGGCGAAGGCAGCCAUCUGGCCUAAUACUGACACUGAGGUGCGAAAGCAUGGGGAGCAAACAGGAUUAGAUACCCCAGUAGUCC